rnacentral:rRNA from 1 species
CGAGUCUCUUCGGGUGCUAUCGGAGAAUAGGAAGAUUGACAGAUGGGCUACCGGCCCGUAACCUCGGGAUAACAUCGGGAAACUCAUCCUAAACCGGAUAUAGUCUUCUCUCUUUUGAGAAGAAACGGAAAGGUGGCACAACCUACCCCUUACGGUUGGGCCUGCGAAGCAAUACCUAGGUUGAUGGGGUAACGGCCUACCAAGGCGACUAUUCUUAGCAAACCUGAGAGCGAACCGGCCACACUGGGACUGAAACUCGGCCCAAACUCCUACCGAAAGGCACAUAUAGGGAAUUUUCCACUAUGUACUAAAGUCUGAUGGAACAACGCCCCGUGAACAAUGAAGGUCUUCAGAUUGUAAAGUUCUGUUGACAGACACAAACAAGUACCGUUCGAACAGGGCGGUACCUUGACGGUACCUGACGAGAAAGCCACGGCUAACUACGUGCCAGCUACCGCGGUACUACGUAGGUGACAAGCGUUGUCCGGAAUUAUUGGGCAAAAAGCGCGCGCAAGCGGCUAUAUAAGUCUGGUGUAAACCCCCGGGGCUCAACCCCGGUUCGCAUCAGAAACUGUGUAGCUUGAGUGCAAAUUAGGAAAGCAGUAUUCCACGUGAAGCGCUGAAAUGCGUAUAGAUGUGGAGGAACACCAGUGGCGAACGCUGCUUUCUGGUCUGUAACUGACGCUUAGGCACGAAAGCGUGCGAAGCAAACAGGAUUAGAUACCCUGGUACUCCACGCCGUAAACCAUGAGUGCUAGGAGUUGAGGGUUUCAAUACCCUCAGUGCCGCAGCUAAUGCAGAAGCCCUCCGGCCGGUGACUACGCUCGCAAAAUUUAAACUCAAAGGAUUAACCGGUGGCCGCACAAUCGGAGGAACAUGUGGUUUAAUCAAAUCAACACGAAGAGCAUACCAUGGCGAGACAUCCCGCUAAGCUACCACAAAAAAGGCUUCCCUCUGGGCACCGGGGACAGAGGUGUGAGGGUUACGGCAGCUCGUGUCAGAAAAUGUUGGUGUAAGUCCCCAACAAACCCCAACCUUAUC